AAUGGGGGAACCCAACAUCUUUAAUAGGAUGUUACGAUUGUGUGAAUACAUAGCACAUUCGAGGUAGACGCAGAGAACUGAAACAUCUAAGUACCUGCAGGAAGAGAAAGAAAAUUCGAUUCCCUGAGUAGCGGCGAGCGAAACGGGAAAAGCCCAAACCAGCAAGCUUGCUUGUUGGGGUUGUAGGACUCCAAUAUGGUAGUUCUUUCAGAUAGUCGAAUGACUUGGAAAAGUCAGUCAAAGAGGGUAAAAACCCCGUAGACGAAAUGUGGAAGACACCUAGGAGGAUCCUGAGUACGGCGGAACACGAGAAAUUCCGUCGGAAUCCGGGAGGACCAUCUCCCAAGGCUAAAUACUCCCUAGUGACCGAUAGUGAACCAGUACCGUGAGGGAAAGGUGAAAAGCACCCCGGAAGGGGAGUGAAAUAGAACCUGAAACCGUGUGCCUACAACAAGUCAAAGCCCGUUAAUGGGUGAUGGCGUGCCUUUUGUAGAAUGAACCGGCGAGUUACGAUUGCAUGCGAGGUUAAGUUGAAGAGACGGAGCCGCAGCGAAAGCGAGUCUGAAUAGGGCGUUUGAGUAUGUAGUCGUAGACCCGAAACCAUGUGAUCUACCCAUGUCCAGGUUGAAGGUGCGGUAAAACGCACUGGAGGACCGAACCCACGUACGUUGAAAAGUGCGGGGAUGAGGUGUGGGUAGCGGAGAAAUUCCAAACGAACUUGGAGAUAGCUGGUUCUCUCCGAAAUAGCUUUAGGGCUAGCCUCGGAAUUGAGAAUGAUGGAGGUAGAGCACUGUUUGGACUAGGGGCCCAUCUCGGGUUACCGAAUUCAGAUAAACUCCGAAUGCCAUUCAUUCAUAUCCGGGAGUCAGACUGUGAGUGAUAAGAUCCAUAGUCGAAAGGGAAACAGCCCAGACCACCAGCUAAGGUCCCAAAAUAUAUGUUAAGUGGAAAAGGAUGUGGGGUUGCACAGACAACUAGG
rnacentral:rRNA from 1 species